GGUCCUUUAGCUCAGUUGGUUAGAGCAUUCGACUCAUAAUUGAUUGGUCGCUGGUUCAUGUCCAGCAGGGGCCA
rnacentral:tRNA from 1 species